rnacentral:rRNA from 1 species
UGGGGGAUAUUGCACAAUGGGGGGAAGCCCUGAUGCAGCGACGCCGCGUGAGUGAAGAAGUAAUUCGUUAUGUAAAGCUCUAUCAGCAGGGAAGAAGAAAUGACGGUACCUGAGUAAGAAGCCCCGGCUAACUACGUGCCAGCAGCCGCGGUAAUACGUAGGGGGCAAGCGUUAUCCGGAUUUACUGGGUGUAAAGGGAGCGUAGACGGCGAUGCAAGCCAGAUGUGAAAGCCCGCGGCUCAACUGCGGGACUGCUUUGGAAACUGUGGAUCUAGAGUGCCGGAGAGGUAAGCGGAAUUCCUAGUGUAGCGGUGAAAUGCGUAGAUAUUAGGAGGAACACCAGUGGCGAAGGCGGCUUACUGGACGGUAACCGACGUUGAGGCUCGAAAGCGUGGGGAGCAAACAGGAUUAGAUACCC